rnacentral:tRNA from 1 species
GCAUCGGUGGUUCAGUGGUAGAAUGCUCGCCUGCCAGCCGGGUUCGAUUCCCGGCCGAUGCA